rnacentral:rRNA from 1 species
CGCGUAGGCGGACCCUCAAGUCGGGUGUGAAACCUGGCGGCUUAACUGCCAGCCUGCACUCGAUACUGUCGGUCUUGAGUACAGUAGAGGAAAGCGGAAUUCCAGGUGUAGCGGUGAAAUGCGUAGAUAUCUGGAAGAACACCAGUAGCGAAGGCGGCUUUCUGGGCUGAUACUGACGCUGAAGCGCGAAGGCUUGGGUAGCAAACA